rnacentral:rRNA from 1 species
AAUAAAAAUAUCUUUGGUUGGGGCAACCACGAAGAAAAAAAAACCUUCGUCUAAAAAAGAAAUUAACAAAUUAAAAAUUUUAUAAAAAAAGAUCCAGAAAAUACUGAUCAAAGAAAAAAGUUACCGCAGGGAUAACAGCGUUAUUCUCUUUAAGAGCUCGUAUUGACAAGAGAGUUUGCGACCUCGAUGUUGGACCGGGGCACCCAAGAGGUGUAGCAGCCUCUAAAGGUAGGUCUGUUCGACCUUUAAAGCCCUACGCGAUCUGAGUUCAGACCGACGCAAGUCAGGUCAGUUUCUAUCUA